rnacentral:rRNA from 1 species
GUGAACGCUGGCGGUAGGCCUAACCCAUGCAAGUCGAACGGCAGCACCGUAAGAGCUUGCUCUUACGGGUGGCGAGUGGCGGACGAGUGAGGAAUACAUCGGAAUCUACUUUUUCGUGGGGGAUAACGUAGGGAAACUUACGCUAAUACCGCAUACGACCUACGGGUGAAAGCAGGGGAUCUUCGGACCUUGCGCGAUUGAAUGAGCCGAUGUCGGAUUAGCUAGUUGGCGGGGUAAAGGCCCACCAAGGCGACGAUCCGUAGCUGGUCUGAGAGGAUGAUCAGCCACACUGGAACUGAGACACGGUCCAGACUCCUACGGGAGGCAGCAGUGGGGAAUAUUGGACAAUGGGCGCAAGCCUGAUCCAGCCAUACCGCGUGGGUGAAGAAGGCCUUCGGGUUGUAAAGCCCUUUUGUUGGGAAAGAAAAGCAGCAGGUUAAUACCCCGCUGUUCUGACGGUACCCAAAGAAUAAGCACCGGCUAACUUCGUG